ACGGCGCGCAUAACAUAGGCUCGCGAGAGCGACGGCGACGGUGACAUGACGUCGCGGCGCCGCGCUCUCUCCUCACGCAACACUGUGGCAGCUGGUGUUCACCUGUCGACCGCUCUGCUCCAUCGAAGCGCGCUCGUGCCCGGCGUUCCGGCUCAGUUGGUACGACUGCGCUGAAGGGACCGGAGGCAGCGAGAAAAUCUGGCCCCUGCCCACUAAAGCCUAAGCAUUCUUUGCCACCGGGAAGGCCUCGGACACGCAUAAGCUAGGAAAAUCAAGCGAAGCAUCUAAGUAGCGCUCAUGUCGAAGGCCAAGCCAUUCACUCAAAUCAUAGACGGUACCCAUCGAGAUCCACAUUGGGAUCCAGCCUUCGUUAGAGAAGCGUUGAAAUUUCGAGCAAAACAAGGAGAUUUAGUCCUGCAUUCGUUUCCGAAAAGCGGCACCCACUGGGUUCUGUAUAUUGUGCAACUCAUUCUGAAGAAAGGCCAACCAAUCACAAGUCAUCUUGAUUUCUCGCAGAACAUGGUGUAUCUUGGAUCGGGAGGCCCCGACGACUUAAAGCCAAGCCUGCCGCUACGUCUGUUCCUAUCACACUUUCCCGUAAGAAAGGAAUUAAUGAGCAGCGAAGCAAAGUACAUCUACGUGACACGGAACCCGUGGGAUGUCUGCGUGUCAUUCUACCACAUGGUGACCAGUAUCAGCGUCUACCGUUUCCAAGAUGGCACAUUCGACGACUUUUUUGAUGCUUUCCUUAGCGAUGACGUCGCCGGCUACGGGAACUACUUUAAUCAUGUGGUUUCAGGAUAUGCCAUCAAGGACAUGCGCAACGUAUUUUUUCUCACUUAUGAGAAUUUGAUAGCAGACACCCGAGGCACCGUACUGAAGCUCGCCCGUUUUCUGGGCGAAAGUUACGCAGUGGAUUUGGGAAAAGAUGAGUGCCUCCUUCGUGACUUACUUGAAAGAUGUUCAGCGGAUCGAAUGAGAGAUAUAAUGGUCGCGGACCUGAGCCCUAUCUCAAAUCCCGUCAUGGAAAAAGUGCAGCGGCGUCUUGGCGAAACUUGUAAGAAUGAACACCCCGGCGACAGCAACAAUACGUACUACUUCGUAAGAAGUGGCAAAGUGGGCGAAUGGAAGAAGUAUUUUUCACAGGAACAGCUGCAGCGCCUGGAGGAAGCAAUAAAGAAAGUAGAAAGAAUGUCGCCUGUGAUGGAUCUUUGGAGCGAUAUACGUGAAGAGGCCAACGAGGUAGCUGCUGCGAAAUACAGAAAAUAGAGGCGCGAACCUGGCGUUUUUCAAGCCAUCUAACCUGUUUCUUUAGUUGUUUCAAGAGCACGUUCAAAUAAAACUGUUUCAACUG